rnacentral:rRNA from 1 species
CCUACGGGAGGCAGCAGUGGGGAAUAUUGCACAAUGGGGGAAACCCUGAUGCAGCGACGCCGCGUGAGUGAAGAAGUAUUUCGGUACGUAAAGCUCUAUCAGCAGGGAAGAAAAUGACGGUACCUGACUAAGAAGCCCCGGCUAACUACGUGACAGCAGCCGCGGUAAUACGUAGGGGGCAAGCGUUAUCCGGAUUUACUGGGUGUAAAGGGAGCGUAGACGGCAGCGCAAGUCUGGAGUGAAAUCCCAUGGCUUAACCAUGGAACUGCUUUGGAAACUGUGCAGCUAGAGUGCAGGAGAGGUAAGCGGAAUUCCUAGUGUAGCGGUGAAAUGCGUAGAUAUUAGGAGGAACACCAGUGGCGAAGGCGGCUUACUGGACUGUAACUGACGUUGAGGCUCGAAAGCGUGGGGAGCAAACAGGAUUAGAUACCCUAGUAGUC